UCAGCUCGGAGAUUUAAUCUUGCAACCUUCCAGUUAACUAGUCCAACGCUCUAACCACUAGGCUACCUGCCGUCUAACCUCCCCGAUGGUCCACGUAUGUGUUUGUAUAGCCUCCUCAUUACAACCUUAUAAAGCAAAGAAAGAAGGAUCCAGUGUUUGGUUUUCUCUCUUACAAAUGUUAAGAAAUUCAUAAUCAAUUCAACAUUUGCAUUUCUAAUGUUGGCAUUUUCCAAAGCUGCCCCCUCCAGAGGCUGUCCCCCAUGGCCCUGAACAAUAAUGUGGAUGGAGACAAAGAACUCAAAUUAAUCACAUAUUCUAAGGCACAGUCAUGUCCCUGGUUCAUUUGGUACAACAUUCCAGUUUAAAUUGAUUCUAUUUCUAGUGUCCUCGUUAGAGGAAGCAACUAUUUGUCAGUUUCUCCUUUACCCAAACCUGGCUCAGUGUCUUCAGAGACCAAGGUAUGUUUAGGUACCCAGUUCCUUGUGUAUGGUACUACUACCCCCCCCCCCCAUCCUUUCCUUUCUGCCCUUUCCGUUCCAUAUUCCUUGUCUCUCACACUUAAAAAAAAAUCCAGUUCUACUCUUUAUCGUUCCUCCAUUUUUUGUUACAUGAAGUUGGGGAGGGCAAGGUGGGUGGGGUAAAUCCAGAUACACAGUUUGACAAARMAUCCUCCAUGUUGGCYACAAACAUUCUUUGACAAGAAUAUUCUAAUUUGAAUAUUUUUUCUUGUAAAGCUUGGUGCUAACAUGUUGCCGUGAAAGUAGUCUCAAGCAAAGUUUGCCAGUCUAUUUACAUCUCUGGUGGGGUGGGGUAGUGUGGGACUGGYAAGGUUUGGAUUUUUUGUUGCAGCYAAGUCGGAAGGCCGCUGGUUCUGCUGGGCGCUUGGUGAAUAAUGGCAGUAGAGGAGGAUGAGACAGAGGUCUGCUUGCCUUUGCUCAGUACAACAUUCGUCUGCGUGUGCGAGCAGAAUACUGGGAGCAUGAGUCGGCUCUGCGCGGCGGCGUCUCCUCGGACAAGCAGCAGCCCCUGGAGCGGCAGUUUGAGCUGUUCAGUCGUGCCACCUCCGUGCUGCGCGCCCGCGACCUGGGCUCCAUCAUCUGCGACAUCAAGUUCUCAGAGCUGGACAACCUGGAGGCCUUCUGGGGGGACUAUCUGAGUGGAGCGCUGCUAGAGGCCCUGAAGGGGGUGUUCAUCACAGACUCUCUGCGGAGGGCGGCGGGGAGAGAGGGGGUUCGGCUGCUGAUCAGUGUGGACCAGGAUGACUACGAGGAGGGUCGCAGACUGCUGCUGGAUGCACAGGAACAACAGGCCGGCUGCUGGGGACGAAACAGGUCAUGAGCCCAAGGAUAGAGGAAUGAAAAGGAGAAUAAAAUAUGAAAAGGAACAUUUUUAUUUUUUUUCUCCUUUUUAAGUCUCUCAUGCUGAGAACAGAGAAUACAGCCACUCCUAGGUCAGGGGAAUAGUCCCCAGGGAAAACAGCCAAACUUGAAGUGAAGGCAAACUGGACUAAAAGACUUGACACGCUGUUCUGUUUGGAAUUGAUAACACAAGUUGCGCUGAGCCUAGAUGCCCUCAGGGCACUGAGGAAGAGACUGCCUUUGUUACACACACACACACAUACAUACAUACAUACACAGAGACAAACUAAACUUCCACUGUAACACACACACAAACUACCACUGUAUCAAACAUACACGCUCUGUAAAAUCAUCCACAUGAUGAACCAUCAGCGCUGCCUGUAAGACUCAUUGAAGCCUAGAGACAUUUCUUGCUAACAGUGACAGCCCAGAUACCAACUAGACUGUGCGCUAAUGCUGAGAAUUUCUGGUUAUGUUUGAGGAGCGUGUGAGAUGCCCUGCAAGGCGAAAUUCACCCAUCUAAAUAUUAGUUUGCGUUUCCAUUGAAAUGUAUGAUUUUGAAAAGAUGAGCGAGACUGCAGCUCUCAGACACUGAGGGAGAGAUGAUGGGGAAAUGAGAUUAUGUUUUGACCUUUUGGGAGAGAAUUAGAAAUAGAUGUCGAAGUGAAGACUACCUGAGGACAGUGUAGUGGACAAAUCGCUGGUCCUUCGAGAACUCCAGUCCACACACACACACACACACACACACACACACACACACACACACACACACACACCAUGAUCACAAGCCACUGGUAGUCCCAUCACUGUGCCAUGCUAACCCAGGGCCUGAUAGCUGUGGUCAGUGGCCAUCUCAUCUCAGAUGCCAGGAGAUGAUGGGAGUGAUUACCUCUCAACCUCAGCCAACCAUGGAGAACUCAUCACAUCACCACAAGUUGUUGAACAGCAGCUGGGAUAACACACACUAGGCUGUMCUCACCCCGGCUUCCAGCAAGGCCACUGCCUUUCCCAUUGGAACUGGAGCACAGGACAGUGCUUCAGUCAAUAAAACUGAUGUGGAGGAGAUCAAAAUCAGAAGGAUACAUCCUAGUUCCACUCAGCCCUGCCUUGUAGGCCCCACUAGUGGCUCACAGAGCGCUGUCUGUCUCUAGUCUAGUCACCCUGGUGGAACUAAUGCCUGAACUCCUCUGAGUGGGAUCAAUAACCCCUUCUGUCUCUCCACCGCCACCAUGGGAGGAGAAGGAGUAAGGGGAAAGAGAGGAGAGGUAGGAGAAGGGGGAAGAGGGAGAGGGGGGAAGGAUCCCCACCUCCAUCCCGCCUUUCAGCUCCUGGACAGCCGCCUCAUCCUCUGCAGGAUAAGUCUCCUGAUGCAACCAGGCUGCCUGGUCUGCUACAGCACUGUGUCUGGUUCACACAGCCCUAUGUGACCAGGGAUGGAGGCACUCAGGAAAACCUUAGUAGUGUUUUGCUUUUUCUGUGUUUUGGGAUAUGGAUUCGUUAGUGUAGCUUUGUAUUGUUCAUAAGAGAAAAUAACAAAAAUACUGUGUGUUCUAGUUCAUUAACUUAGGGUGAACUUUUGUUUAAGUAGCUGGAUAUUUUAUUUAGGCACUGCAAAAGUGCUGUAUAUUAGUUUAAUAUAUUAGUGGAAAGUUGGAAUUAUUUCAAAUAAAAAUAAAUGAUUUAUCAAAGGUU